AGAGUUUGAUCCUGGCUCAGGAUGAACGCUGGCGGCGUGCUUAACACAUGCAAGUCGAACGAACCUUCGGGUUAGUGGCGGACGGGUGAGUAACGCGUGAGAAUCUGCCCUCAGGAGGGGGAUAACAGUUGGAAACGACUGCUAAUACCCCAUAUGCCGAGAGGUGAAAUGAAUUUCGCCUGGGGAUGAGCUCGCGUCUGAUUAGCUUGUUGGUGGGGUAAUAGCCUACCAAGGCUUCGAUCAGUAGCUGGUCUGAGAGGACGAUCAGCCACACUGGGACUGAGACACGGCCCAGACUCCUACGGGAGGCAGCAGAGGGGAAUUUUCCGCAAUGGGCGAAAGCCUGACGGAGCAACGCCGCGUGAGGGAUGGAGGCCUUUGGGCUGUAAACCUCUUUUCUCAAGGAAGAAGAUCUGACGGUACUUGAGGAAUAAGCCACGGCUAAUUCCGUGCCAGCAGCCGCGGUAAUACGGGAGUGGCAAGCGUUAUCCGGAAUUAUUGGGCGUAAAGCGUCCGCAGGCGGCCGUUUAAGUCUGUUGUUAAAUCGUGGAGCUCAACUCCAUCACGGCAAUGGAAACUGUUCGGCUUGAGUAUGGUAGGGGCAGAGGGAAUUUCCGGUGUAGCGGUGAAAUGCGUAGAUAUCGGGAAGAACACCAGUGGCGAAAGCGCUCUGCUGGGCCAUUACUGACGCUCAUGGACGGAAGCCAGGGGAGCGAAAGGGAUUAGAUACCCCUGUAGUCCUGGCCGUAAACGAUGAACACUAGAUGUUGGGGGAAUCGACCCCCUCGGUGUCGUAGCUAACGCGUUAAGUGUUCCGCCUGGGGAGUACGCACGCAAGUGUGAAACUCAAAGGAAUUGACGGGGGCCCGCACAAGCGGUGGAGUAUGAGGUUUAAUUCGAUGCAACGCGAAGAACCUUACCAAGGCUUGACAUCCUGCGAAUCUCUAAGAAGUUAGAGAGUGCCUUCGGGAACGCAGUGACAGGUGGUGCAUGGCUGUCGUCAGCUCGUGUCGUGAGAUGUUGGGUUAAGUCCCGCAACGAGCGCAACCCACGUUUUUAGUUGCCAGCAUUCAGUUGGGCACUCUAGAAAGACUGCCGGUGACAAACCGGAGGAAGGUGUGGACGACGUCAAGUCAUCAUGCCCCUUACGCCUUGGGCUACACACGUACUACAAUGCUGCGGACAAAGAGUAGCGAUCUUGCGAAAGUUAGCUAAUCUCAUAAACCGUGGCUCAGUUCAGAUCGUAGGCUGCAACUCGCCUACGUGAAGGAGGAAUCGCUAGUAAUCGCAGGUCAGCAUACUGCGGUGAAUACGUUCCCGGGCCUUGUACACACCGCCCGUCACACCAUGGAAGUUGGCCAUGCCCGAAGUCGUUACUCUAACCUUUUGGAAGAGGGCGCCGAAGGCAGGGCUAAUGACUGGGGUGAAGUCGUAACAAGGUAACC
rnacentral:rRNA from 1 species